UCUAGUGAUGAUAGCGAAGAGGUCACACCCGUUCCCAUGCCGAACACGGAAGUUAAGCUCUUCAGCGCCGAUGGUAGUUGGGGGUUUCCCCCUGUGAGAGUAGGACGUCGCUAGGC
rfam:Jeotgalibacillus malaysiensis strain D5, complete genome.